rnacentral:rRNA from 1 species
UACAGAGGUCCCAAGCGUUGUUCGGAUUCAUUGGGCGUAAAGGGUGCGUAGGCGGCGCGGUAAGUCGGGUGUGAAAUCUCGGAGCUUAACUCCGAAACUGCAUUCGAUACUGCCGUGCUUGAGGACUGGAGAGGAGACUGGAAUUUACGGUGUAGCGGUGAAAUGCGUAGAUAUCGGGAGGAACGCCGGUGGCGAAAGCGACUGUCUGGGGUGCUGUGACGCUGAGGCGCGGAAAGCCAGGGGAGCAAACGGGG